rnacentral:lncRNA from 1 species
UGAUCCGUCGGCCAGCGGAUUCCAAAGGUCAUGACCCUUUGAAUUCUUAAUCAUUUAUUCCACUAACAACUUACUGUUACCAACUAAACUGCCUAACUAUGAGUCUAAUUCUCAAGGUUAUCAAUAACCAACUAAUAACUUAUCACAAAGUUUAUUUACCUAUUCUACAUAGCCCCAUUUUUAAUUGUGCAGAGUCCUCACAAAUAAUAUUUACCCUCAACUUAUAAAGACGUAGCAGCGGAUAUCUCUGAAGGUGUUGUCGCUGAAACUAGUGUAUUGGUCCGUACUACAUUAUUGGCCUCCUUCUCUAAUGUGGCUAGUUUAGUCUACAACAUUGCAACCUCUACUUGCAACCAUUCUUGCCGUUUCUUCCAAUCGGUCUUCAACCUUGCUUUCUUA